UAAUACGUAGGGUGCAAGCGUUGUCCGGAAUUAUUGGGCGUAAGGAGCUCGUAGGCGGUUUGUCGCGUCUGCUGUGAAAAUCCGAGGCUCAACCUCGGACUUGCAGUGGGUACGGGCAGACUAGAGUGCAGUAGGGGAGAAGGGAAUUCCUGGUGUAGCGGUGGAAUGCGCAGAUAUCAGGAGGAACACCGAUGGCGAAGGCACUUCUUUGGGCUGUAACUGACGCUGAGGAGCGAAAGCGUGGGGAGCGAACAGGAUUAGAUACCCUGGUAGUCCACGCCGUAAACGUUGGGCGCUAGAUGUGGGCCACAUUCCACGUGGUCCGUGUCGCAGCUAACGCAUUAAGCGCCCGCCUGGGGAGUACGGCCGCAAGGCUAAAACUCAAAGGAAUUGACGGGGGCCCGCACAAGCGGCGGAGCAUGCGGAUUAAUUCGAUGCAACGCGAAGAACCUUACCAAGGCUUGACAUAUAGAGGAAAAGUUCAGAAAUGUUCUCCCUAGCAAUA
rnacentral:rRNA from 1 species